CUGUAACCGUUCAGAUUCGGCGGUCUGUUCGCGACGGUCUCCAUCCGUGAAGCCCAGCCGCCACGUUCCCUUUGGCCGACCGCUGACCGACCCACACUUAGGAUUUUUGCUGCGAGUUCGACAUUCGUGCGUUGAGGUGUUGGGAGUAACGUUAGGCUCCCUUACAUUCACAACCCGUUUGUGAAUUGUUGAAGGUUCAGUUCGCCAAUAUAUCGGUGAGUUGGAACUUACGUUGAGGAAAGAUUGUUUCGAGGACGUUAGUUGAUUAAGGAGCUUCCCUAACUUUGAGGCAAAGGUAAUAAAAGCGGCAAACCGGCGAGGGGCAGGAAGGAAGCGUGACUGCCAUAGGAAAUAUGUUGUUUGCUUCCGCUUAUGGGUUCUUGUGAGGUUUAAGAUGAAUUGAAAGUUUGCUUACAAACGUUUAUUGUAAAUAGUAUUGUUUUUAUGUUUUCUUAAAUGUUUGAAAUUCAGGCCUGACUUAAAGAUGUUUUUAAAUUAGCUUACGUUUUGUUUUA